AACGAACGCUGGCGGCGUGCCUAACACAUGCAAGUCGAACGAGCCCUUCGGGUCUUGUGGCGCACGGGUGCGUAACGCGACGGGACAGGAACUUAGGGUCGACAUACCUCCCAGACAGGGAUGAUAAUACCGGAUAAUGUCUUAUGCCCCAAGAUUUAUUGCAUUUGGAUGGGCACGCGUGGAAUUCGCUAGUUGGUAGGGUAAAAGCCUAACAAGGCGACGAUCCAUAGCUGGUCAGAGAGGAUGAUUAGCCACACUGGGACUGAGACACGGCCGAGACUCCUACGGGAUGCAGCAGUGGGGAACAGUGGACAACGGGCGAAAGCGUGAACCACUAAGGCCGCGAGAGUGAUGAUGUCCGGAGGGAUGUAAAGCGCUUGUACCCGUGAUGAUAAUGACAGUACCUGGAGAGUAAGCCCCGGCUAACUCCGUG
rnacentral:rRNA from 1 species